rnacentral:rRNA from 1 species
AACCCGGGUAUGCCCCAGUAGCGGCGAGUGAAGCGGCAAGAGCUCAGAUUUGAAAUCGUGUUUCGGCACGAGUUGUAGAGUGUAGGCGGGAGUCUCUGUGGAGCGCGGUGUCCAAGUCCCUUGGAACAGGGUGCCUGAGAGGGUGAGAGCCCCGUAGGGUGCUGCGCGAAGCUUUUGAGGCCCUGCUGACGAGUCGAGUUGUUUGGGAAUGCAGCUCCAAGCGGGUGGUAAAUUCCAUCUAAGGCUAAAUAUUGGCGAGAGACCGAUAGCGAACAAGUACUGUGAAGGAAAGAUGAAAAGCACUUUGAAAAGAGAGUGAAACAGCACGUGAAAUUGUUGAAAGGGAAGGGUAUUGGGCUCGACAUGGGGGGUGCGCACCGCUGUCUCUUGUAGGCGGCGCUCUGGGCGCCCUCUGGGCCAGCAUCGGUUCCUGCUGCGGGAGAAGGGGCUCCGGAAAGUGGCUCUUCGGAGUGUUAUAGCCGGGGCCAGAUGCCGCGUGUGGGGACCGAGGACUGCGGCUUCUGUCUCGGAUGCUGGCAUAACGGCGCAAUACCGCCCGUCUUGAACACCGGACC